rnacentral:rRNA from 1 species
GUCGGACGGUAGCAGGUCCUUCGGGAUGCUGACGAGUGGCGAACGGGUGAGUAAUGUAUCGGAACGUGUCUGGUAGUGGGGGAUAACACAUCGAAAGAUGUGCUAAUACCGCAUACGACCUUAGGGUGAAAGCAGGGGACCUUUCGGGGCCUUGCGCUAUUGGGGUGGCCGAUAUCGGAUUAGCUUGUUGGUGGGGUAAAGGCCUACCAAGGCGAUGAUCCGUAGCUGGUUUGAGAGGACGACCAGCCACACUGGGACUGAGACACGGCCCAGACUCCUACGGGAGGCAGCAGUGGGGAAUUUUGGACAAUGGGGGCAACCCUGAUCCAGCCAUUUCGCGUGUGUGAUGAAGGCCUUCGGGUUGUAAAGCACUUUUGGCGGGGAAGAAACGGCGGGCUCUAAUACAGCUUGCUAAUGACGGUACCCGCAGAAUAAGCACCGGCUAACUACGUGCCAGCAGCCGCGGUAAUACGUAGGGUGCGAGCGUUAAUCGGAAUUACUGGGCGUAAAGGGUGCGCAGGCGGUUUGGCAAGAGAGAUGUGAAAUCCCGGGGCUUAACCUCGGAACUGCAUUUUUAACUGCCAGACUAGAGUGUGUCAGAGGGGGGUGGAAUUCC